AGCCCGCUAUCGGAGUCGAACCGAUGACCAUCGCAUUACAAGUGCGGUGCUC
rnacentral:tRNA from 2 species